CCUCCCAACCCGCGGCAGCACUCUCCGGCCUCCCCCGCUCGCUGCCGUCCCCAUCCCCCUGCGCUCGCCUCUACCGGCCGAGGACCAACCCGCGGGCGCCCUCUCUCUCCCCCGCUCGCCGCCAUCACCCUCUCCCCCCCUCCCCUCGCUGCCGCCGUCGCCCUCCCCCCGCGCUCGCCUCCGCCGGCCGAGGCCCAACCCGCGGGCGCCCCCUCUCUCCCUCGCACGCCUCCGUCGCCCUCUCUCUCCCCCGCCCACUGCCGCCGUCACCCUCCCCACUGCGCCUCCUCCUCCUCCUCCUCCACAAGUUGAGAUGUCCGCAAGUUGCUCGUUGUCGUACUCAGGGUCCAGCUGGUCGUCCUCCAUGUUGCGAAGGGAGGCGACGGAGUUAUCUCAGUAGAAAAUCUAUAAAUGCUAUGUAUAUCUUUCAUUGGAAAUAUAUUCUAAAAAAAGUGUACAAGAUUCCAUAAUAGUAUCAACAUAUAUAUCAGGCCUGCUGUCCCUGGUGGAGCACCGCAAGUGGGAGCGCCUCGCCGUGCGGUUCGACGCGCAGCAGCUCCACGCCGUGGUCGAGGCCGGCAGGCCGCCAUGUUGUGCACGCAGAGCAACGCCGAGAGCCGCCCUGCCAUGGCCGAGGUUGUCGAGAUGCUCAGGUUCAACGGCGAGCAGCGGACGACCAAGGAGAUCGUCCCGGUGUCGGCCGUGAGCAGCGAGGAGGUGACAGACCAGCUGGACGACGUCACCGGAAGCAGCGAGCCCCUGGACAGGCGGAGCUGGAAGCUGACUAAGGGCACGGUGCUAGCAGAAUAACGAUGGGUUUGGAUCAACAGUCCUGACGACAUAGAGAGACAGAACUCCUCGCCCUUAUGAGCAUGACUACCUGACUGAAGCAACUUUGAUACACUUCCUCUCUGUUUGGCUGAUUACCCAAUGUCUAAGUCGCAGUGUCACACCAAUGCUUUGCUCCAGGCCCAGACAUCAACAUGAGCCCUGCCCUUGUCAGUUGUUUGACUCAUAGAGAAUCAUGAGAUUGCCAUGCCCAAGUUGUCAAGGUUAGAAAGGGAUUGGUCAUGGAUGGCAAGGGUUAGAAGUUCGCAUUGCUGUGGUUCUGGUGCACCACCAAUCAUCCCUGGAUUAUUGCUUUUAUCUGAAACUAAAUUCACUUAAGAUUGUGGGACCUGCUGUCUCCGGUUGAUCUGCGUCCAAAAACUGAAGAUUCAUUCACACACUGCAAAGUCAACUUAUCUUGCGCGGCACCAAGAAAGCAUCAUUGGACUUCUGACUGGUGGAUACGGCAUGGCUUACAAGCUUCAGAGACCUGCAGACUUUGUGAUCAGUAAGCUGAAUCUUCUGACCACAUUAUGCUCAGGUGUUCUUUAUCUCUACAGAUUUGGUGGGCGAUAUUAUCUAGACUGGGCUUAAGGAACAUCAGACGCAUGGUGUGAGUUCGUUGUUACAAGAUUGGUGGAUGAACCUGUGGGUGCAUUUACUGGCAGGAAAAUGAAAAUGAAAAGGUCUUGAUUCUCUCGUCACCCUGGUCACCUGGAAUUUGUAGAAGGAAAGGAAUGCACAGGUCUUAUCGAAUGAUGAGGCAAUAGUGCAGCCUUACAUAUGUGUUAUUUGUUUUUUGAUUAAUAACAGAAUAAGCAGAGUAGCUAAAGUCCUCUAGGUUUAUUUAUUGUUGAGAUACAUCCUGAGUUUGUGGGCCAAUGCAAUAAAAACUAUUUUCUUUCUUCUUAA